CCCUUAGAUGUUCUGGGCCGCACGCGCGCUACACUGACGAAUGCAACGAGCUUAUAACCUUGGCCGAAAGGUCUGGGUAAUCUCCAAAUUUCGUCGUGAUGGGGAUAGAUUAUUGCAAUUAUUAAUCUUCAACGAGGAAUGCCUAGUAAGCGCAAGUCAUCAGCUUGCGUUGAUUACGUCCCUGCCCUUUGUACACACCGCCCGUCGCACCUACCGAUUGAAUGGUCCGGUGAAGCCUCGGGAUUGCGAAUGCUUCGUGCGGACGCGAGAACUUGGCUAAACCUUACCAUUUAGAGGAAGGUGAANUCGUANCA
rnacentral:rRNA from 1 species